AUACGGACGGUCCGGGCGUUAUCCGGAUUUAUUGGGUUUAAAGGGAGCGUAGGCUGGGCGUUAAGCCAGCAGUGAAAGUCCGCGGCCCAACCGCGGGUGUGCUGUUGGAACUGGUGUCCUUGAGUGCGCGCGAGGUAUGCGGAAUUUGUGGUGUAGCGGUGAAAUGCUUAGAUAUCACGAAGAACCCCGAUUGCGAAGGCAGUAUACCGGAGCGCAACUGACGCUGAAGCUCGAAAGUGCGGGUAUCGAACAGGAUUAGAUACCCUGGUAGUCCGCACGGUAAACGAUGGAUGCCCGCUGUCGGCGACAGACUGUCGGCGGCCAAGCGAAAGCGUUAAGCAUCCCACCUGGGGAGUACGCCGGCAACGGUGAA
rnacentral:rRNA from 1 species